rnacentral:rRNA from 1 species
UACGUAGGGGGCGAGCGUUGUCCGGAUUCAUUGGGCGUAAAGAGCUCGUAGGCGGCCUGUCGCGUCUGCUGUGAAAGCCCGGGGCUCAACCCCGGGUCUGCAGUGGAUACGGGCAGGCUAGAGUCCGGCAGGGGAGACUGGAAUUCCUGGUGUAGCGGUGAAAUGCGCAGAUAUCAGGAGGAACACCGGUGGCGAAGGCGGGUCUCUGGGCCGGUACUGACGCUGAGGAGCGAAAGCGUGGGGAGCGAACAGG